CGGGCAGGGUCGGCCCCUUGUUUGCGGGGUUUCCCGACACCCCGCGGACGAGCGGGGCAGCAGCCGGGCUAGCGCCGCUCACCUAGCGCGGGAACCGCCGCCUCUGUCUGUCUGUCUGUCGCUGCAGCAGGAUUCCGUUCCCCGGCCAAGUCUCACAGCGCCGCACUCCCGCCAAACUAAGCCCGACUACGUCCGAGCCCCGGCUCGCGAGGAGCAACACUGCAGCUGAAGGGUCUUCCAUCAACUAGUUAUUCCAUCUCCCUGAGAAGUGGUUGCUAGGUUGUCGAAGAAUUCUUCCGUCAAUCUACCGCUGUCUACACUGGGGGUAGCACCUUGAGGCCCCAACUGACCUUGGGUCUCCACUGUGCUGGGCAGUGUGCAAACACACAGUGAGAGACAGCACCCGAGACAAGACCAACAAGCGGUGGGAGGAGAAACAAGAGGCAUAGCAAGGUGAAGUGGCAUGGCCAAAUUCACCAAGCAGCUGGAGAAGCCGCCAGGAGGUGCAGAGGCCUGGAAUUCCUGAGCAACACCUGCUGCUUUCAGCCCGUGGACUGCACAAGCAUCUCCAGCCCCACAAAGCAUUCCCAGUGGCAACCAAUGGCACCAUGUUGUAUAGCAACCACACCACAGGGUGUGACUCUGUCUAAUUUGGUUCCAUCCAGCAAGGGCUCUGGGAUUUCAUCCAAGUCUCUGCUUGGCUGGCACAAUAAGCAACAGGAAAGGAACCACCCGCUUCUAGUACCUAUAUCAGACAGGACAAGUUGAAUUAACAAGACAGGGCUCCUGUGUGGGGAUGCAAGG